UGCAGGUCACUUCGGCUGAAUCGGGAAAAGUUGAACAAAAGUUUUCCUUUCGCUUCUUCUCUCUGGCUCUCUGCUAGGGGAGCCCCUCUCUGGUCCCGGCCCUGGGUGCCAGCUGUGGGCCUGCCAGGCUGUCCCCAGCCGCUUGUGACCACAACAAGCCCCGCUGCUCUGCUGAUGGGAACGGAGGUUGGCAAGAAGGACAGAGAAUCCGCAGGAAAACAGUCAUUUUCGACACUGACCCUUGCAUCUGGAUAGAAAACAAGUCCGAAGACUUUGGGAAGGCGAGAUAAAUAUGACUGAGUUUCUUACUGACAAAGGGGUUUGGAUGAAGCUAACUGAUAAUGGCACUUUCACUAAAAGGUCAAGUCCCAAUUAUGGAGGAUCACUUUUCAAAUGCAAUGUCUCGCUUUGCUUCAGGCCUAAACCAGAGAUCGUGGAAGGACAGAUAUAAAGUGUACACUGUCAAAAGCUUAUCCGGUCUUUACUGCAUAGCACCCCAUAUUUAAAUGUGAACUCCAGUUCAGAGCAGUUGAAUUUAUCUGUAGAGUUCUACGCAUGUUUGCACCAGUCAUGAAGACCUGCACAAAAGAUGAAUUCCUCUCAUCUGCUGCCGAACAAGUUUUUAAAAAGUGAAAUAAGAUAUGGAUUAAAAAGGAACACAGCAAAGAUGAAUUGUAAUAAAAACAGCAUCUGAUCUGUCAAACGUAUAAUUUUUACAGUGAAUGUUACAGAUUAUUAUUUAAAGUAUCAAAUAAUUUGAUAACUGUUAGAAUAGUAAAAGAAAAAGAAAAAGAAAACCCCUCGGAAUCUGAACACUACAGAGCAGUAAUAUAAUUUUCUGGGAUAAAUAACAUGAAAUCAUAGGAAUAAAUGUUCUGUCUAAUCUGAAAAUCUGCAGAUGUUCAGUAAGUAUCCAAAAUGCUCCAAUAUGUAUUCCCAAAUGACUGCGCCCACCAGUCAAUGUGUAUUUUUAUCUUCUGGCUUCUUUAGAUACACAUUAUAACUUUGAACAUCCAGAAACGACACCCUUCUAUGGCGAGGCGAAUUUCCGCCGUUGUCUUUACCCUGAAACAA